AGUGAACGCUGGCGGUAGGCCUAACACAUGCAAGUCGAACGGCAGCACAGUAAGAGCUUGCUCUUACGGGUGGCGAGUGGCGGACGGGUGAGGAAUACGUCGGAAUCUACUUUUUCGUGGGGGAUAACGUAGGGUAACUUACGCUAAUACCGCAUACGACCUACGGGUGAAAGCAGGGGAUCUUCGGACCUUGCGCGAUUGAAUGAGCCGAUGUCGGAUUAGCUAGUUGGCGGGGUAAAGGCCCACCAAGGCGACGAUCCGUAGCUGGUCUGAGAGGAUGAUCAGCCACACUGGAACUGAGACACGGUCCAGACUCCUACGGGAGGCAGCAGUGGGGAAUAUUGGACAAUGGGCGCAAGCCUGAUCCAGCCAUACCGCGUGGGUGAAGAAGGCCUUCGGGUUGUAAAGCCCUUUUGUUGGGAAAGAAAAGCAGCAGGUUAAUACCCCGCUGUUCUGACGGUACCCAAAGAAUAAGCACCGGCUAACUUCGUG
rnacentral:rRNA from 1 species